rnacentral:rRNA from 1 species
UAAGCACGAAACUUGCCCCGAGAUGAGUUCUCCCUGACUCUUUAAGGGUCCUGAAGGAACGUUGAAGACGACGACGUUGAUAGGCCGGGUGUGUAAGCGCAGCGAUGCGUUGAGCUAACCGGUACUAAUGAACCGUGAGGCUUAACCUU